CAGUUCGGAUUGUAGUCUGCAACUCGACUACAUGAAGCUGGAAUCGCUAGUAAUCGCAGAUCAGAAUGCUGCGGUGAAUACGUUCCCGGGUCUUGUACACACCGCCCGUCACACCAUGGGAGUCGGAAAUGCCCGAAGCCGGUGACCCAACCAAAAGGAGGGAGCCGUCGAAGGCAGGUCUGAUAACUGGGGUGAAGUCGUAACAAGGUAUC
rnacentral:rRNA from 1 species